GGAAGACUUAUAUCCAACGUCUGUACGGUUGUUGCUUGAACACCAGUUUUCUGUUGCAUUUUCAAGUGUUGUGACAAUCAUUUUCUAAUUUCGUCAAAUUAACACACUUGUGAAGAUCUCGAGCUGGUUGUAAUAGAUUCAAAAAUACUUUCUUGGAAGAAAAAGUUUAUAAAUUAUCUAGUGCUCACUGUCGUGCUGAGUUCGACUUAGGAGUGUCGUUUUAGCUCCAUGGUCUACCUGAGUUGUCAUCUAUGAUCGUGUACAAUAACCUGUAUCACUGAGGAGUUAGGCGAUGAACCUUAUAACCCGUCGGUUAAGUUUUGUAGCAGUAUUGCUUGUCAUAUGUCUGGCUAUCUUUAACUUUGCCAUCUUCCCGACAUCUAUAGUAACUUUCACAAAGAAGGAAGAUACAAGGUGCAGUUGUCCUGAAUCACCAUGUGAGACUCAUAUGGCAGAAUCCAAGUACAUCGUUAAAGAAGUACCAGUGUCUGUAUCUGAUGUGAAAAUUCCCUUCACUGCUGGCUUACUCAAAGAUGGACUUGUGUCCUUCAGUGAGGAA